rnacentral:rRNA from 1 species
UACGUAGGUGGCAAGCGUUGUCCGGAUUUAUUGGGCGUAAAGCGCGCGCAGGCGGUUCGUUCAGUCCGUUGUGAAAGCUCCCGGCUCAACUGGGAGAGGUCUUCGGAUACUGGCGGACUCGAGGGAGGCAGAGGAAGGUGGAAUUCCCGGUGUAGCGGUGAAAUGCGCAGAUAUCGGGAGGAACACCAAUGGCGAAGGCAGCUCGCUGGGACGGUACUGACGCUGAGGCGCGAAAGCGUGGGGAGCAAACAGG